rnacentral:lncRNA from 1 species
GUGGCGUUGGUGACCCUUGGGUGGCGUUGGUGACCCACGGGUGGCACUGGGUGGCAUUGGGUGACCCAUGGGUGGCAUUGGGUGCCAUUGGGUGGCAUUGGUGACCCACAGGUGGCACUGGGUGCCAUUGGGUGCCAUUGGGUGACAUUGGUGACCCAUGGGUGGCACUGGGUGCCAUUGGUGAUGCAUGGUGGCCACUGGGUGGCACAGGGUGGCACUGGGUGCCCUUGGGUGGCAUUGGGUGACCCACGGGUGGCACUGGGUGCCAUUGGGUGGCGUUGGUGACCCACGGGUG